rnacentral:lncRNA from 1 species
ACAUCUUUUCUCUUUUUUCUCCACUUUCUCACUUCUUCUCCAUUCCAAAUUCCCUUGGUCUCUUGCCGAUUUCUUGUCUUGGAAAAUAUGAAUUCAUUAGCCAUUUGGAGCAGCAAAAGUGUUCAUAGCAGCCUUGGUCGACCAGGACAACGGAGAAGGAAGAACGAAGCAAACUAGUCAAGCCACGGAAAAACAUCGGAUUUGAUUAUUGUUCCCUAUCUCUUUAGUUUUUAUUGUUGUUAUGAUGAACAUAUAUAUGAAUAUUUAUGUUGUUGGAAUGGUUAAUUUAAUCAAUUUAGCUUAAAU